UCCGAGUUGACCCCGGCAGUCUCGCAUGAGUCCCCAACUAAAUGCUGGCAACAUGCGACGGGGGUUGCGCUCGUUGCGGGACUUAACCCAACAUCUCACGACACGAGCUGACGACAGCCAUGCACCACCUGUGAUCGCGCCCCGAAGGGAGGGUGUGUUCCCACACCUGUCACGAACAUGUCAAGCCCAGGUAAGGUUCUUCGCGUUGCGUCGAAUUAAACCGCAUGCUCCACCGCUUGUGCGGGCCCCCGUCAAUUCCUUUGAGUUUCAGUCUUGCGGCCGUACUCCCCAGGCGGAACACUUAUCGCGUUGGCUUCGGCACGGACAGAUUCGACUCCGCCCACACCUAGUGUUCAUCGUUUACGGCGUGGACUAC
rnacentral:misc_RNA from 1 species